rnacentral:rRNA from 1 species
AUUGAACGCUGGCGGCAGGCCUAACACAUGCAAGUCGAGCGGAUGAAGGGAGCUUGCUCCUGGAUUCAGCGGCAGACGGGUGAGUAAUGCCUAGGAAUCUGCCUGGUAGUGGGGGAUAACGUCCGGAAACGGGCGCUAAUACCGCAUACGUCCUGAGGGAGAAAGUGGGGGAUCUUCGGACCUCACGCUAUCAGAUGAGCCUAGGUCGGAUUAGCUAGUUGGUGGGGUAAAGGCCUACCAAGGCGACGAUCCGUAACUGGUCUGAGAGGAUGAUCAGUCACACUGGGACUGAGACACGGUCCAGACUCCUACGGGAGGCAGCAGUGGGGAAUAUUGGACAAUGGGCGAAAGCCUGAUCCAGCCAUGCCGCGUGUGUGAAGAAGGUCUUCGGAUUGUAAAGCACUUUAAGUUGGGAGGAAGGGCAGUAAGUUAAUACCUUGCUGUUUUGACGUUACCAACAGAAUAAGCACCGGCUAACUUCGUG